AAUGACAAGUGCAGAUGGCGAG
rnacentral:miRNA from 1 species